UAUACACGUACGGGGGGGCGAUUUAUUAAAAUUUUUAGAUCGGGAAAAAGAUAGCUCUUGAUGAGCAUUAUCCAGCAUUAUAAAACGUGCAACUGUAAAUUAACCAUAAAUUCGUGACACACCCGCAAUAACUUGAAAAUUUAAAAAAGGUUGAAAGUAAUUCGAACCGUUAAGCGUAAUAUUAAACCUAAGGUGCUAAAUAACGUCGAUAUGAAAUUGAGUUGCAAAAAUGCCAUAAUUAUUGCGUUGAUAUAAUUAAUAAAAUCGAAUAAUUAAAUUAUACAUCUAAUCAUCGACAUUCUCAUUUUGUAAAAAAAAUGUUUUUUUAAACCCUCACGUGAUACUCCGAUUGACGUCAAUGCUGGCCUCCAAUCUUGCCAGAACAUUUCUUAAUCUACACGACAUACGACCACAAGCCUUCCAGUUUUGUCUAAUACAUCGAUAACUACCACGCUUAGUUAAUUAGACAAGGAUGCGUGCAUCUCUAUUUGCGACAAAUUACGAUUAGCGUUCGAUCUAUAAGCCGUCCAUUUAUUUUCACUGUGAAGUUACUACUGAACUGAUCUGCAUAUUUAAUGUUAGAACGCCACAAACCAACAGGAAAUUCUUCACGCCCGCCGAUGAGAAAUUUGAUCGAAAUGCAGACAAUAAUUGGAAAGGUGUAAAAGAAUAGAUUUACACGAUGUUGAUUUAAAUAAGACCCUGAAUUUUAAAUGUGUACACUCAAAUAAAUGUGAAGAUAUUUUAUCUUCUGCCACCGGAGACCACCCCCGCUCAUACUACUACCGUCUAGCCCCGAAAUGGCAACUCGAAGCCUGCAAAUGGAAACUAUAAGAUAUUUGGAACUAUAUUUCUGUCUUUUUCACUACUGAAAGAAGUGCGUUUAUGGCUGAAGUUCUGGAGGCCUUCAAGGGAUUUUAUGAUGAAAAUGAUCAAUUGAUCACACAGAAACCGAGCUUCAAUUUCCACAAGUCUCGGAUGCAUGCAACCAACGACCGAUAGCAACAAAUUAGUAACAAAUUGCCUACCGGUAAGGCGUGGUAACAGAACAAGAUUCGAAAGUGCCUUAUGAGUUAUGACUGUUAUAAGUAUGGUACCUAAUAGUCAAAUCGAUAAAUAAAAGAAUUUUUAGUUGGCAAAUUAGUGGCAAACCUGAAAGCAUAUGGUAAUUUAGCGUGUAGUUUCUCGACACAAGACCAGCAAUGAAGAUGUUUUUUUUUCCGUCACUGGGUAGAUCAGUCGGGUUGAACAAAACAACACAUUAUGUAUUUUACAAAAACAAAUCCGUAAAUACUGAAUUUGUGAAAGAUUUAGACCAGGUGAUUCAGAAAAACGUCGCUCAUUCUGCGAAUGGUACACAAGAUGUCAAGAGAAUAUGAAUUUUCCUAAUCCUAAUGGUCCGAUGAGAGUAUGGUUACGAAUAGUGGCAUUUUCAAUAGACGAAAUGUCCACUAUUGGUCUGGGGUUUGAACAGAACGUCAAAAGACAUCAACACCAAUUUGGUUUUAAUAUAUGGACUGGUGGAUUCGGUCAAAGAUAUGUAGGACCAUUUACUUACCAAGCUACUUACGUGUACUGCAAACGAUUUAGGGUAGGUAUGGUUCUUGAUGCGAUAGUUCACAACUGUUAGAUAUAGCAGGAUGGUGUACCUGCACAUAUUCUAGAGCCGUUCGGGAAUAACUUUCAAUAAGAUUUCCAGAAAAAGUUAUUAGCAAGCAUUCCGCAAAACCCUGGCCAGCACGUUCACCCGAUAUAAAUCCGCUUGCAUUCUUGAAUAUGAGGGUUUAUUAAGAAACGUGUCAGCAAAUGGAAGGAGAACUGAAGGGGUUAGUUCUAGAAGCAUUUGAUAGCAUUAGUCCACGAAUGCUGACUAGGGUGUUGAAUCGACGGUGACAUAUGCUGUAAAUUUAGUUUUUUUAUACAAAUUUAUUUCUUGUUGUAUC